ensembl:lncRNA
AUUUCACAACAUUGCAUUUUGAAGUUCCUUUUUUUUUCUACAUUUGAAAACAUGAUCUUGCCUUUACGUUUAUAUGCACUAAUUUUAAUUUAUUUUAUAAUAAUUGUUUAAUUCUACUCUGUCUGUAGUAAAGCUCCAAGAUGAAUGCAAGAGGAAGAAAUGGGCCGUUGUUUAUCAAGACGUACAGUAAAAGAAUGCGAAAGGUGGAGCCGUGGUUCUCUCCUGACCUGAAGAAAGCAGCUUUCUCGUUUUCAAGCACUCUUUCAUCAGAUCAGUCCAUAACAGAGACCACACAACCCAAGAAACGGUAAAACACACAUGCAUGCAUUUAAUCCUUAACUGUGGUUUAAAAUUUCUAUAGGGAAGCUGAUAUUAUCAAUGACAGUUCCUUUGUCUGUGAAUAGGAGAAUAAGAGAAAGAGCUUCCCGUCCUGCCAAGAGCAAAGGCAUGACUGCUAUAAAGGAGAACGAGGAAAACUACUCACCGUCCUCAUUGUUCAGAAAGAAGACAAAUGCAAAACCAUCAGUGAGGACGACAGCUGUGAGGAAGACUCGAACGGCAAAAACAAAUAAACCGAUCAUUCUCAGCAGCAGUGAAAAUGAGGAUGACUCCUGUAUGAUAAAGAAAAGAAUUCGUCCGAAAACGUCUGCUGGUGAAUGUGCUGGGUGAGGCUUGUUAUACAUUUAGUAAAAAAAAAAAAAUCACUGCUGCUUGACUUUGUUUGAGUGAAAUAUUGUUUUGUAUCUGUGUAGUGCUGAGAAAGUGUUCGGCGCUCAAUGUUUGCCUAAGUUCGUCACACAUCGCAGAAGACCACCAGCACCCAUCCAAACCAAUCCGAUCGUAAGUAACAGUCUGCAAGGGGGGUUCUUGGUUUCUAUUGGAUUGGCAUUAAAACAGUUUUUUUCUUUCCCUCUAGUCUGUUGAUGAUUCCUUAGAUGACUUUCUUCCUCCAUUCUCCCAAAACAAGCGGAAGCCGCUUCACAUGGGCUCCAAUAAUCAUGCUGCUCUCAAGAACCGCGUGGCUCUGGCUGAAGUCUCGUUCAAUGACAGCGAUGACCAGCAGCUCCCAAGUAAACGUCCUCUGCUGUCGAGUACACCUUCUCUGGUCUGCAGACGGCUCCAAACCUUACCAGAGCGCUCCAUCAGUGAGAUCUCCUCCCUCAGCUUUGAUGAACUUCACCAGCCUGCAGAAAACAACUACAGCCUUCAUAAUCUGAAGAAUAUGAAAGCGUGUGACCACACAAGUCACCAACUCACAAACCCAGGGAUCUCCUCGGGAGAGAGAGUGAUGGAGCAGAAGGAAGGAGAACGGGAUGCAGUUGUGGAAGAGAGAGCUGGGGAUGGAGAGAGGGAUAAAAAAGGAAAUCCUGGAUGCGUUUCACGACAGUCACGUCUAGAAUCUUUAGCAGACGAGUUAAAGGAGAGGUGUCGCAAAGUGGAUGUAGCCGUAAUGCUAAAAAAAAUAGACGUCUCGGAUCAUCUGUUGGUGCAAAGCUGCGUCAGGGAACGAGAAGAGAAAAUCUCCUCUGAUUGCUUGGAGUCGUCUGUGGCAGCAAACAGCCAAACCUAUAUAACUGUAUCAUCCAGCUGCUCCUCUCUAUCCAAACCAUCACUCUAUCUCUCCUCAAAGUCUCCGUCCACUUCCCCUUUUGCUGGAGCUGUUUGUUCAAAGCAGUCUCUUAUUGGGCGUCUUAAGGCUGAAUGUCUGUUAUCUUCCCUCGCUGUCAGCGUUCCACGUCUGGACUUGGAUGCGUAUCCUUCUGUCCACCAGAGGGCAGCAGAAGCGCCCUGCCCCGCCUCCCCACACACCUGCCACAGAGACAGUGCAUCCUCUCCACCUCUCAAAGAGACGGGGAACGUCAUCCCAACCAGCUCCCAGACUCCCAGAAACCCUGAAGGAGAUGUUCAACACUCGUCUGCAUCAUCCCGACCACCUCCGGUCUCUCCGUCUGCCUCUGCAGCUUAUAGCAAAACACGUCCUCCUGCUGUGCCUAAAGAACGCACUGGGUCAGGUACUGGCACCGGCCGCAAAGUUUGUGUGAGUGGACUUAAUGUCAGCCGCUGGUCAAAGAGGGGUGCUGGAGAAUUCAAUGAAAAGCGGAGGAAAAAGGACGGACGGAUAAAGACGGUGUCAGGAGACUGGGGCAGCAUGUCUUCUGCAGGGGUCAGUUGUCACUGUCAUACACUCCUGUGCUCAUUUUACUGUAGCUAAUAGUCAUUUACACUCUUUGACAAGUAGAUUAAGUUUUUUUUUUUUGACAUUUUAU